ensembl:lncRNA
CCAAGGUCUGUAAAGCAGACCUAUAACUGACCCGAUGUGCCCUUCGCCCUCAGGAUGUGCCAGAGUUUUGACCUCUGUCUGGUUUAUAUUACUCUCUGGGGCAGUUUACUCUACAAAUGAGUCACCUGCUGUCUGGACUGUAGUCUGAGUGACCACUAAAGACUGAUGGAAGCUUACAGACUGGUACCAGAGUUUCGAGGAGGCCGCUGGCCUGAUGCCAGCUAGGUGCAUGCUGGGAGUCCGUGCAGGGGAGACACUCCGACGCCACCCUGCUGAGAGCCGAUAGGAUUACUGUUUACAUUGAGCUCCAUGGGAAAUGGCUUUCAUUGAGGCUGUUUGGACUCUCAUUCUGACGGCAUCCAUUCACUGCAGAGGAACCAUUGAUUUAUUCUGGAGCAGAAACUGAAUGGAAUGGGCCACACAGAGGAUGACAGACGCUGAACCCUAUCCUCUCCAGGUGACCUCAGGCACGUGCAGGAGGAGAUACAGGAAGGGAGGAGAGAGAGGUGUCUGACUGGGGCAGUUUUCCUCAGGAGGAUGAAAAGACACGUCCUGCUGAGUCUGAGCUUAUUGUCUGCUGAAGUGUUAUGGAUGUAACCAGG